CCGUUAAUGGGAAAAAGUCCCCGUCACGUGGUUCUUUUGAUGCUGUUGCUGUAGAUAAAACGACCGUGUCGCCAUAGCGAACAAGGACAGCACCGUUCGCUUGUUUUGCUAAUUGUCCCGUUUCUAUUGUUAACGGUUGGUUCGCCCACUCCGUUUUAAAAACCUUUUUUUCUUGAGACAUGAUGAAUCUCCUCUCCUACAUUUAAACAUUUCGUACGUUUUUUAUACAUAAAAUCAUUAUAUCUUACAUUAUAGGUAUUUAAUAGUAAAAAAAGAAAGAAACCAAGUUAUUGGUCUCUUUCCAUU
rnacentral:antisense_RNA from 1 species